rnacentral:rRNA from 1 species
CCAUAAUUAAGGCGGUUUGCUAUACAUGCAGUCGAACGCGUUGGCCCAAUUGAUUGAUGGUGCUUGCACCUGAUUGAUUUUGGUCGCCAACGAGUGGCGGACGGGUGAGUAACACGUAGGUAACCUGCCCAGAAGCGGGGGACAACAUUUGGAAACAGAUGCUAAUACCGCAUAACAACGUUGUUCGCAUGAACAACGCUUAAAAGAUGGCUUCUCGCUAUCACUUCUGGAUGGACCUGCGGUGCAUUAGCUUGUUGGUGGGGUAACGGCCUACCAAGGCGAUGAUGCAUAGCCGAGUUGAGAGACUGAUCGGCCACAAUGGGACUGAGACACGGCCCAUACUCCUACGGGAGGCAGCAGUAGGGAAUCUUCCACAAUGGGCGCAAGCCUGAUGGAGCAACACCGCGUGAGUGAAGAAGGGUUUCGGCUCGUAAAGCUCUGUUGUUAAAGAAGAACACGUAUGAGAUUAACUGUUCAUACGUUGACGGUAUUUAACCAGAAAGUCACGGCUAACUACGUGCCAGCAGCCGCGGUAAUACGUAGGUGGCAAGCGUUAUCCGGAUUUAUUGGGCGUAAAGAGAGUGCAGGCGGUUUUCUAAGUCUGAUGUGAAAGCCUUCGGCUUAACCGGAGAAGUGCAUCGGAAACUGGAUAACUUGAGUGCAGAAGAGGGUAGUGGAACUCCAUGUGUAGCGGUGGAAUGCGUAGAUAUAUGGAAGAACACCAGUGGCGAAGGCGGCUACCUGGUCUGCAACUGACGCUGAGACUCGAAAGCAUGGGUAGCGAACAGGAUUAGAUACCCUGGUAGUCCAUGCCGUAAACGAUGAGUGCUAGGUGUUGGAGGGUUUCCGCCCUUCAGUGCCGGAGCUAACGCAUUAAGCACUCCGCCUGGGGAGUACGACCGCAAGGUUGAAACUCAAAGGAAUUGACGGGGGCCCGCACAAGCGGUGGAGCAUGUGGGUUUAAUUCGAAGCUACGCGAAGAACCUUACCAGGUCUUGACAUCUUGCGCCAACCCUAGAGAUAGGGCGUUUCCUUCGGGAACCGCAAUGACAGUGU